AGCCAUUGGCCACACAGGACAUUUGAGAAAAGUGCUAUUGCUAGCUAGUCAUAUAAGCCAAGAAGAAGCUCGAGUUUGAUUCUGAAAAUAUAGACAGCCCUGGAAUCUUUUUCUGGAAAGCAUUUACAUGUUUUGAGGUUAAAGGACUGUUGAUCUGGAUUUCAGAAGUUUGCAAGAGCUUGCUAUAAUAAGAGACUUGUCUAACAAUAGUAGCCAAUUGAAAUGUCUGAUUUGGAUGAAACCAGGAUGGAAGGCAAUGUCGAGCUAGACAUAAAAAGAAAGAUCAAGUUGACCACAAAGGCCCUAGAAAAGAAACUUGAUGAACAAAUGAAUCUCAGGAAACGUGUAUUAGCACGUCUUGUCUCCAAAGCAGAGGAAAUAGAAAACCUCAUGAUAAACUAUUCAAAUGCACUCCUAAUUGAAAAGCAUCAUCUCAGUGAUUACUCGAAAUUUCUGAAUAGGUUUACUGAAGUGAACAAUGCAGUUAGUGAACUGUUAUCAGAUGAUGAAAAGAAAGCUGACCAGCAGUAUUGGAGUGAGCCAAACCUUAUAAAGUAUGAGAACUUUUUGACCAAAUUGGAGCAUUGGAUAAUAGAAGCAAGACGGCACGCCAAGACUGGCGCGACGACACAGCAAGGUGAGUCUGCCGCCGAAGAUGUGGAUCCAGACGACAGUGCAUCCGCUGUACUAGAAAAUUAUAGUUCAGUCACCGUACGAAGUGUAAGCAGUAGACAUUCAAAGUCAUCCAAAGUGUCAUCUAAUGCUUCGUCUCUGCGUAUAAAAGAGGAAGCUAACCGUGCAGCCCUACUCGCACGCGCAGCCGCGCUUAAGAAGAAACAGGCACUGCAGUUGGAAGAGGCUCAAAUGGAAGCCAAGAAGAUUCAGUUGAAGGCUCAAAUAGAGGAGCUAGAGGUUGAGACUGCUAUCGCAGAGUCCACAGCAAAGCUACAAGUUAUGGAAGAAUAUGAUAACAUGGAUGACGACGGGAUGAAUUCCUACCUCGUCAAGAACAUGCAUACAGCAGCAACCAUCGAACAUCCUGCUCCAGAUGUCAGAAGAAAAUUGACCAGCAGUCUUCGAGUUAGCCAAUACAACAGUGCUUCUCACUUUCCAACUACACACCAGUCUUAUGUGCAAGUUAAGGAAGAAAACAACAACCACACAAGUACAAAUUCCAAUGGAAGGCAGGUUGAACUUGGCGAAGUGAUAUUGAAACAGAAGGAUAUCACAGAGAUGUUAGUCACACAACAGAGACUAGCCAACUUACCUCAACGAGAAGUCCCUGUAUUCAGUGGCGAUCCUUUCGAGUUCCUGCCAUUCCUGAAGGCUUUUGAGCACAUCAUCCACAGUCGUACAGACAACGAUGAAGACCGCUUGUACUAUCUAGAGCAAUUCACCAGCAGUGAACCAAGAGAACUUGUGAGAAGUUGCCAACACAUGAGCGCACAACAAGGCUACAAUGAAGCAAGAAGGCUCUUGACCUAUUACUAUGGCAAUGAGUAUAAAAUAGCUGCAGCCUACGUUGACAAGGCUCUCAAAUGGCCUCAAGUCAAAGCAGAAGAUGCCAAGUCACUUCACAGCUUCUCCAUCUUUCUCACUGGAUGUAACAAUGUCAUGAAGAAUAUGGAAUACCUCGAGGAGAUGAACAGCCCGAGCAACCUUCGGAUCGUCCUCUCAAAGUUGCCCUUCAGACUUCGUGAAAGAUGGAGAGUCAUAGCUUUCGACAUACAAGAAAGGGAAGGAAGAAGAGCAAAGUUCUCUGAUCUCACGAUGUACAUCAACAGACAAGCUAGGAUAGCUUCAGACCCACUGUUCGGUGAUGUCAACGAGUACUCCGAAGCUAAAGAAAAAGGCAGGUCAAGCUUUAAAUCUGCCCAGGAAGGCGGACCGAAAAGAACCACUGGCUGUGCUACGAGUGUUAAGCCAGACGAAGGGGAUGCCUCAGAACCAAGAAAGAACAAGCAGACAAGCAACGCGUUUCAAGAGCCAUGCCUGUACUGCAACAACAGACACACCCUGAGCGCAUGUUACAAAAUAAGAAGUCUGCCAAACAAAGAGAGAAUCGAGUUCAUUAAAGGUAAAGGACUUUGUUUCGGGUGUCUGACCCAAGGGCACAUGGCAAAAGACUGUAAAAAGAGAGCCACUUGUGAAAUCUGCAGCAAGAAACACCCAAGCCUGCUUCACAGCAAAAGGGACGAGAACACCGACCAAGAGAACGUCAAGCCUGAGAAAGGUCAAAGCUCUACCAGCGGACA
rnacentral:lncRNA from 1 species